GCCCUGGUAGUGUAGUGGACGAUCAUGUGGCCCUGUCGAGGCCAUGACCCGGGUUCAAAUCCCGGCCGGGGCG
rnacentral:tRNA from 2 species